AAAAUUACUCAUUCUUUUGUAAGUAACAUACUGAAGUGGACUGAAAAAUAUAUACAGACACACUGUAACAUGGACUCAUUCAAAGUCUGAACAAUAAUUACAAUAUUAAAAUAAAUCAACUUUAACUAUAAAGGGACAUCGUCACAUUCCAGGAUACAUCAUUUUUUAUGCCUUAUAUUCUUGCUUUUGUUUAUAUACUGUCAAAGACAUUACAAUUACCUUUCAAAAUACGAUAUAAAAUUGAGUUUCCACAGAAAGUUGGAUAUGAACCCUAGAUAACUGGGAAAAGCAAUGACAGGAUAUAAGGAAACAUUUAUUUCUUUUAAUAAUUAAAAAGUACUAAAUUGAGACCAGCUCCUUAAAAAUUAUUAAACUGCUCGUCACACUUCCCAUUUCUUUUAGGGAAAUAAACAAACAAAUUAACAACACUUUCCCCACCAUCAUUAAAUCUGCUCUAAAACUACCCUUUUUUUUUUUUUUAACAAUGCAUUUCUUUUGUUUCUUUAAAACCCCCUGCCUCCACACUCUCCCAAACAAGGUCACUAUCAAUUCGAAACAUUUUACAAUGUUCAGAAAGUUUCUGGCUCCUCUAUUACCACUUUAAACAUUUAAGACCUACUCCAAGAUUUAAGGGGCAAUGUACUUUAACAAAACGGCAGAUGUGCUUUCUAAAAACCCAGUUUCCAAAACAGCGAAAUGACGUAAAAUGUAGAGUCAGGUCUAUGUGUUACCAGAUACAUCAAACUAGUCGUAUUUGAAGAAAACAACUUUUUACUCGAAACAAGAUGUACAACAACUGAUCCAAAGAGCACAGGCGCCUUGGCAGGCGGGCGCCAGCCGCUGCGUGUCCUACCACUGAAACGCCGAUGGCCUGUCACAGCAGGCUGACCGCGAGAUCCUGCUGAAAAGGCACCUUGAAAGGUGACUGAAUUCUUAUUCAAACUGGUCACAGGCAAGUAGUAGUCUAUAUAUGGGACACAGUUAAAUAUACCAAAUUUAUCACUGUCAAAUAAGUUUGCUUAUUUUAAAAACUGAAUAUAGCCUAUGUUGGCGUAUGAAACUUGUGCACAACCAGAAAUGAACACAUAACAAAACUUCCUUAAAAUCAGUCUCUGAUGUCUCAUAUCCCACCCUCUACACCUUUCAAACAGACUGGUUUCUCAUUUUCCUGGCAGGUGAAAACAAUGAUUUACUAGAUAUAUCACCAAAGGACUGGAACCAUGCAUCUACUGUAUGAUAACAGCUCAGUAACCUGGACGGAUGGUCAUGCAAUAGUUUUAAAGUCAUCUACAUGGUUUUAAUAAAGCAUCAAAUUGUUUUCAUACAUGCUACUUUCAUUCUCAACUGACAACUGCCAAGUUAAUUGCUGCCACUUCAGCAUAUCACUAAGAAUACUGGUAAACCUUUAGCUAGAACACCAAGCAGUAUAUAUAUUAUUCCCCUAAAUGGUUACUUACUACCAGUAGGGUUGACCAUCACUAAAGAGAUAUGAAACCAUACAAAGGCACAGGCACUGGCAUAUGAAAGAACAGCGGGACUGACAGGCUGUUAGGGGAGACUGACAGGCACCAGUGUUACAAAAGCCGUUAAAGAAUGCUGUUUUCAGGUUAAUGCUUUUAAGCCCAUCUGCUUUCUCACCAUGAUUUUCACAGUUUUGCCACAGUUGUUGUAGGAGAGAUGUUUUAUCAGUGUAAUUACAUAGCCACGUUUACUGUGAGACGAGUGGAUAUUUUUUAGAGAAUUUUCCACAUAGGAAAAAACGUCUUCAAAGUUGUAGGUAGAGUGUGAAAUUAUAAUUUUGAUGGAAAACUGAUGAGUUAUUAUGCCUUUGGUUUCAUUUUGCUAUUAAGUGCAGCUUGUUUUUCCAGGUCUGCCAGAGAUGACUGCUAAAUUAGAACACAAGGACAGCUUUAAGAGUGCAUGUGUGCACACUGGGGGCACCUGGUAUGGGAGAGUGGCUAUUCCUAAGGUUCUAUCAGGUGAAAUCUUUUAGGAUUAGAAAAUCUACCAAUUUUGUUGCUGUCUGUAUUCACCCAAAUAAGGGCAAGAUUCCAAAAUCCAAUUCUGAGCUAAGAAGGAAAUUCAAUCAUGGUAGAGACCUUAAUUAAAUGUCUUACUGAUAAUUUUCCAGUGGUGCACCCAUUGAGUCAUAUGAUUUUAUAUCUCUUCAGUUAUUCACACCCUAAAGUUCUGGUUUCAUAAAUAAGGAGUGCUUUAUUAUCACCUGAACUACCUGAAUGAACUCAAUAUUAUCUCUGAAUACAGUAUGUUAAAUUUUUUCAAAGUCCUUUGUCAUCACCUUUCUUUUAAUCAUAUUUCUUGACUAGCCUUCUCUUCCUCCCCAAAUAAUGCAGUGUGCAACUUUUAUGAUAUUGGCCAAGUGCAAUUUCCCUCACGCUGGUUUAUUAACAUACAUGCAAAUAAAUCUUUAUUGAACAGAUAACAUUUUUCUUUCAGCUAAGUUAGGAUUAUGGCACAAAGUAUUAUCUGUGCUGUAAACAUCAUGAAUUUAUCACAAAUUGGAAAGAGGGAAAAAAAGGCCCUAUGGACUGCAAACAUUUCUUAUAGAACCACAGCUGAGCUCAAGAUUUCCAAAUGGAUUUUGGAAUAGAUUUAUAUUUGGCAUACAUUCACUGUGCUAUUGGCAAAGCGCAGUUUUACGAGAAGGUCCUUCAUAAAAUCAUAAUUGUAAGGACU
rnacentral:lncRNA from 1 species